CUGAGGAGGAAAGGCCGCGCAAGCGGCUGCUCGUGGAGGGGCCCGCGGCCUAUCAGCUAGUUGGUGAGGUAACGGCUCACCAAGGCGACGACGGGUCGCUGGUCUGAGAGGACGACCAGCCACACGGGGACUGAGACACGGCCCCGACUCCUACGGGAGGCAGCAGUGGGGAAUUUUCCGCAAUGGGCGCAAGCCUGACGGAGUGACGCCGCGUGGGGGACGAAGGCCUUCGGGUCGUAAACCCCUGUCAGAGGGAAAGACGGGUGUCGGCGUGCACAGCGCCGGCAUCUGACGGUACCUUCAGAGGAAGCCCCGGCCAACUCUGUGCCAGCAGCCGCGGUAAGACAGAGGGGGCAAGCGUUGCUCGGAAUUACUGGGCGUAAAGGGCGUGUAGGCGGAGCGGCAAGUCGGUCGUGAAAGCCUCCGGCUCAACUGGAGAACGUCGAUCGAUACUGCCGCCCUUGAGGGUAGCAGAGGAGACUGGAAUUCCCGGUGUAGCGGUGAAAUGUGUAGAGAUCGGGAGGAACACCGGUGGCGAAGGCGGGUCUCUGGGCUACUCCUGACGCUGAGGCGCG
rnacentral:rRNA from 1 species